rnacentral:lncRNA from 13 species
CAUCAUUCAACCAUCAUCCAUCCAUCCACCCACCCAUCAUCCAUCACUAGGCAUCAUCCACCAUCCAUUCAUUCAUCCAUCCAUGGAUGAUCUAUCAUCCAUCCAUCAUCCAUUCAUCCCUCAUCCAUUCAUUCAUCCAUCCAUCAUCCAUUCAUUCAUUCAUCCAUUCAUUCAAUCAUCCAUCUAUCAUCCAUCAUCCAUCCAUCCACCCACCCAUCAUCCAUCAUCCAGGCAUCAUCCACCAUGCAUUCAUUCAUCCAUCCAUCAUCCAUCCAUCCACCCACCCAUCAUCCAUCACCCAGGCAUCAUCCACCAUGCAUUCAUUCAUCCAUCUAUCAUUCAUUCACUCAUCCAUUCAUUUAAUCAUCCAUCUAUCAUCCAUCCAUCAUCCAUGCAUCCAUCAUCCAUUCAUUCAUUCAUCCAUUCAUUGAACCAUCCAUCUAUCAUCCAUCCAUCAUCCAUUCAUCCAUCAUCCAUUCAUUCAUUCAUCCAUCUAUCAUCCAUCCAUCAUCCAUCCAUCCACCCAUCAUCCAUCAUCCAGGCAUCAUUCACCAUCCAUUCAUUCAUCCAUCUAUCAUUCAUUCACUCAUCCAUUCAUUCAAUCAUCCAUCUAUCAUCCAUCCAUCAUCCAUUCAUCCAUCUAUCAUCCAUCCAUCAUCCAUUCAUUCAUCCAUCCAUCUAUCAUCCAUCAAUCAUCCAUUCAUCCAUCAUCCAUCCAUCCAUCAUCCAUCCAUCCAUCAUCCAUUCAUCCAUCAUCUAUUUAUUCAUCAUCCAUUCAUUCAUCCAUCCAUCUAUCAUCCAUCAAUCAUCCAUUCAUCCAUUAUCCAUUCAUCCAUCAUCCAUUCAUUCAUCCAUCCAUCAUCCAUUCAUUCAUUCAUCCAUCCAUUCAAUCAUCCAUCUAUCAUCCGUCCAUCAUCCAUUCAUCCAUCAUCCAUUCAUUCAUCAUGCAUUCAUUCAUCCAUCCAUCUAUCAUCCAUCCAUCAUUUAUCCUUCCAUCAGCCAUCUAUGGUCAUCCAUCUAUUCAUCAUCUAGCUAUUAUCUUUAUAUCUAUCAUCCACCUUCUAUUCAUCCAUCCAUCCCAUUGUCUACCCAUCCUUCAAUCCAAGUGUCAUCCAUCUAUCCACCAUUCCCCCAUCCACCAUUCAUCUAUUCAUUCAUCCAUCUAUCCAUCAUUUAUCCUUCCAUCAGCCAGCCAUCCUCUAUUCAUUCAUCCAUUCAUACACUCACUCACUCUUUCUCCCUUCCUCCAUUCACCCACUCAGUUACCCAUUCCUUCUUUUCUUUCUCUCUCCUACCCAUCCAUCUAUCUACUCACUCAUAUCCACCUACCUGCUCAUCCAUCCAUCCGUUCAUCCCUCUUUCCAUUCAUCCAUCCAUUUCUCUCUCCAUCCC